UACGGGGGGGGCAAGCGUUGUUCGGAAUUACUGGGCGUAAAGGGCGCGUAGGCGGUUCGCUAAGUUGGAUGUGAAAACUCUGGGCUUAACCCAGAGCCUGCAUCCAAAACUGGCGAACUGGAGUACUGGAGGGGAAAGCGGAAUUCCUGGUGUAGCGGUGAAAUGCGUAGAUAUCAGGAGGAACACCGGUGGCGAAGGCGGCUUUCUGGACAAUGACUGACGCUAAAACGCGAAAGCGUGGGGAGCAAACAGG
rnacentral:rRNA from 1 species